AGCAGCCGCGGUAAUUCCAGCUCCAAUAGCGUAUAUUAAAGUUGUUGCAGUUAAAAAGCUCGUAGUUGAAUUUCGGGAUCAAUUAAUUGGUCGUGCCUCUGGUACGUACUGAUUUUAUUGGUUUCUCCCUUCUGACGAACCAUGAUGUCAUUAAUUUGGUGUCGUGGAGAAUCAGGACUGUUACUUUGAAAAAAUUAGAGUGUUUAAAGCAAGCUAACGCUUGAAUACAUUAGCAUGGAAUAAUGAAAUAGGACGUUUGAUCCUAUUUUGUUGGUUUCUAGGAUUGACGUAAUGAUUAAUAGGGAUAGUUGGGGGCAUUAGUAUUCAAUUGUCAGAGGUGAAAUUCUUGGAUUUAUUGAAGACUAACUACUGCGAAAGCAUUUGCCAAGGAUGUUUUCAUUAAUCAAGAACGAAAGUUGGGGGCUCGAAGACGAUCAGAUACCGUCCUAGUCUCAACCAUAAACGAUGCCGACCAGGGAUCGGCGGAUGUUGCUCUAAGGACUCCGCCAGCACCUUCUG
rnacentral:rRNA from 1 species